rnacentral:rRNA from 1 species
AUUGAACGCUGGCGGCAGGCCUAACACAUGCAAGUCGAGCGGAGCGGCGGACGGGUGUGUAAUGGCUAGGAAACUGCCUGGUAGUGGGGGAUAAAGUCGGGAAACGGGCGCUAAUACCGCAUACUAUCAGAUGAGCCUAGGUCGGAUUAGCUAGUUGGUGGGGUAAAGGCCUAACAAGCCGACGAUCCGUAUCUGGUCUGAGAGGAUGAUCAGUCAUAAUGGAACUGAGACACGUGCCAGAGUCCUACGGGAGGCAGCAGUGGGGAAUAGUGGACAAGGGGCGAAAGCCUGAUCCAGCCAGGCCGCGUGUGUGAAGAAGGUCUUCGGAUUCUAAAGCACUUUAAGUUGGGAGGCGUUACCAACAGAAUAAGCACCGGCUAACUUCGUGCCAGCAGCCGCGGUAAUUC